UUUGAGAGAUUAAUUCAUUUUUGAAAUCCAAUCUCUACUCUCUCUUUCUUCCCUGCGAAAAGACCUUCUUCUUGGUGAUUUAGGAUCUUUUAUUUUGGAUAUUUUGGAGAGAAAAAUUCUAGGUUUUUGGGUUAGAUUGCUGACCGCUUUCUUCCUGUGUGGAGACUCCAUUUUUGGUGAUUUUCAGAUUUGCGAGAGAGACUUUAUUCUUGUAUUUUACUGCCUGAUUAUUGGGGCUUUAUAGUGCAAUCGAGAUUUAUCCAUUUUAAUGGACACUCAAUAUGGGAAUAAACAUUAGAAGGGGUUUCCAAACCUCUGGGGCUUCGGUUGAAAAAAUAUUGUGUUCAUUUUACAAUUUUCUACACUUUAUUUUACUGUUUGUUUUGUUUGGUUUAAAUCUUGAUUAAUUCUUAGACGCUCCUCGAAUUUUCAGUGGUAUCAGAGCAAUUUUGGACUAUUGGAGCGUCUCUGAUUCCUGUGAAUUGACUGGAUUCUGAAAUUUUCCUUCAAACUGCAGUAAACAUUGGCUGGUGGAAAUUGAGUUUUAUCAAACUCGUUUGAUACUUGGAGCAAAUGACAUUAUAAAUGUUGGUGAAACUCGUAGGUGCACUAUAGCCUUAAAUUUUGGAAGCAAGGUGGAGAUUGUUGAGAAUUCAACCUGCUGACCGUUCUUUACUAUUAAUUGUGCUUCCAAAAUUGAAGAAAACGUGUUUACAAAAUAACAACUUCUUUAGUGGAGACUUUCAUCCAAAUUUCGACACCUGGCAUCAUGAUGUCCAUCAGAUCAGAAUCUAUUGACUUGCAAUAUAUAAAUCUGGUGCGAUUCUGACUGGGGAUGACAGCAUCAAUUUUUUGAGAGAUUAAUUCAUUUUUGAAGUCCGAUCUCUGCUCUCUCUUUCUUCCCUGUGAAAAAGACCACCUUUUUGGUGAUUUAUGGUCUUUUAUUUUGGGGAGAAAUUUUCUAUGUUUUUGGGUCAGAUUGCUGACCGUUUUCUUCCUGUGUAGAGACUCUAUUUUUUGGUGAUUUUCAGAUUUGCGAGAGAGACUUUAUUCUUGUAUUUUACUGCCUGAUUAUUGGGGUUUUAUAGUGCAAUCGAGCUUUAUCCAUUUUAAUGGAUGCUCAACAAGGGAAGGCAUUAGAAGUGGUCCCCGAACCUCUGGGGUUUCGGCCGAAAAAAUCUUGUGCUCAUUUUACAAUUUUCUGCACCUUAUUUUACUAUUUGUUGUGUUUGGUUUAAAUCUUGAUUAAUUCUUGGA